CCCUUAGAUGUUCUGGGCGGCCCGCGCACUACAUUGGCACUGGCAACAAGAUCCUAGAUCUGGUAUUUCGGGGUAUUCUACCAACUGGUGUCGUGACUGGGAUCAACCCCUGCAAUUAUUGGUUAUGAACGAGGAAUUCCUUGUAAUCACGGUUUAUCAACCCGUGUUGAAUGCGUCCCUGCCCUUUGUACACACCGCCCGUCGCUCCUACCGAUUGAAUGAUCCGAUGAAUACCAUGGAUUGAGAGUACGAAUAGGUUCGCUUAUUUCUGCUGCUCGAGAAGUGGAGUAAAUCUUAUCAUUUAGAGGAAGGAGAAGUCGUAACA
rnacentral:rRNA from 1 species